UAGGGAAUAUUGGACAAUGGGCGCAAGCCUGAUCCAGCCAUGCCGCGUGAGUGAAGAAGGCCCUCGGGUUGUAAAGCUCUUUUGUCCGGAAAGAAAAGCAUCGGGUUAAUACCCCGGUGUUCUGACGGUACCGGAAGAAUAAGCACCGGCUAACUUCGUGCCAGCAGCCGCGGUAAUACGAAGGGUGCAAGCGUUACUCGGAAUUACUGGGCGUAGAGCGUGCGUAGGUGGUUCGUUAAGUCUGAUGUGAAAGCCCUGGGCUCAACCUGGGAAUGGCAUUGGAAACUGGCGGACUGGAGUGCGGUAGAGGGUAGCGGAAUUCCCGGUGUAGCAGUGAAAUGCGUAGAGAUCGGGAGGAACAUCCGUGGCGAAGGCGGCUACCUGGACCAGCACUGACACUGAGGCACGAAAGCGUGGGGAGCAAACA
rnacentral:rRNA from 1 species